rnacentral:rRNA from 1 species
CCUACGGGUGGCAGCAGUGAGGAAUAUUGGUCAAUGGGCGCUAGCCUGAACCAGCCAAGUAGCGUGAAGGAUGACUGCCCUAUGGGUUGUAAACUUCUUUUAUAUGGGAAUAAAGUGCAGUAUGUAUACUGCUUUGCAUGUACCUUAUGAAUAAGGAUCGGCUAACUCCGUGCCAGCAGCCGCGGUAAUACGGAGGAUGCGAGCGUUAUCCGGAUUUAUUGGGUUUAAAGGGUGCGUAGGCGGGAUGCCAAGUCAGCGGUAAAAAUGCGGUGCUCAACGCCGUCGAGCCGUUGAAACUGGCGUUCUUGAGUGGGCGAGAAGUAUGCGGAAUGCGUGGUGUAGCGGUGAAAUGCAUAGAUAUCACGCAGAACUCCGAUUGCGAAGGCAGCAUACCGGCGCCCUACUGACGCUGAGGCACGAAAGCGUGGGUAUCGAACAGGAUUAGAUACCCCAGUAGUC